rnacentral:rRNA from 1 species
GCGUGCUAAUCUGCGAUAAGCGCCGGUAAGGUGAUAUGAACCGUUAUAACCGGCGAUACCCGAAUGGGGAAACCCAGUGUGAUUCGUCACACUAUCAUUAACUGAAUCCAUAGGUUAAUGAGGCGAACCGGGGGAACUGAAACAUCUAAGUACCCCGAGGAAAAGAAAUCAACCGAGAUUCCCCCAGUAGCGGCGAGCGAACGGGGAGGAGCCCAGAGCCUGAAUCAGCAUGUGUGUUAGUGGAAGCGUCUGGAAAGGCGCGCGAUACAGGGUGACAGCCCCGUACACAAAAGCGCAUGUGCUGUGAGCUCGAUGAGUAGGGCGGGACACGUGGUAUCCUGUCUGAAUAUGGGGGGACCAUCCUCCAAGGCUAAAUACUCCUGACUGACCGAUAGUGAACCAGUACCGUGAGGGAAAGGCGAAAAGAACCCCGGCGAGGGGAGUGAAAAAGAACCUGAAACCGUGUACGUACAAGCAGUGGGAGCACCCUUUGGGUGUGACUGCGUACCUUUUGUAUAAUGGGUCAGCGACUUAUAUUCUGUAGCAAGGUUAACCGAAUAGGGGAGCCGGAGGGAAACCGAGUCUUAAUUGGGCGUUAAGUUGCAGGGUAUAGACCCGAAACCCGGUGAUCUAGCCAUGGGCAGGUUGAAGGUUGGGUAACACUAACUGGAGGACCGAACCGACUAAUGUUGAAAAAUUAGCGGAUGACCUGUGGCUGGGGGUGAAAGGCCAAUCAAACCGGGAGAUAGCUGGUUCUCCCCGAAAGCUAUUUAGGUAGCGCCUCGUGAAUUCAUCUCCGGGGGUAGAGCACUGUUUCGGCUAGGGGGCCAUCCCGGCUUACCAACCCGAUGCAAACUGCGAAUACCGGAGAAUGUUAUCACGGGAGACACACGGCGGGUGCUAACGUCCGUCGUGAAGAGGGAAACAACCCAGACCGCCAGCUAAGGUCCCAAAGUCAUGGUUAAGUGGGAAACGAUGUGGGAAGGCCCAGACAGCCAGGAUGUUGGCUUAGAAGCAGCCAUCAUUUAAAGAAAGCGUAAUAGCUCACUGGUCGAGUCGGCCUGCGCGGAAGAUGUAACGGGGCUAAACCAUGCACCGAAGCUGCGGCAGCGACACUGUGUGUUGUUGGGUA